ACAAAUCAAAUGUUAAACGUACUAUUUUGUAGAAAUAUUUUUUUUCUCCAGUCGUUUUUGAAAAAUAGCAGUUGGUCAACGGAGAGCAUAGUCGUAAUAGCAUAGUCGAGCCAUGAUAUUUUAAGCACUUAGCGCACCUGACACUGAUCGAAUUUGAAAUCACACACUCUGUUGACAAUAAUUAUAAGUCAACAAUAAUUUCGCUUAAUUAAUCAAUUUUGUCAAGUCGUUUUUCGAUCAGAUAUAAUGAGUUACAAUAUCAGAAGUGAAAUAUUAUGUGACGGCGGAUGUGACAAACGCAAAGUCCGGACAGCUCCGGCAGUUUUAAAGUACCAAUUGCAUUUUAUGCAUGUUACAAUAUUAUUUGAAAAUCAUCGUUUUCAUUGUUGCCCUAGUUUUGUUUUCCUUUUCUUUUGCAGCGCUAAAAUAUAUUGUAAUUUAAAAAUAUACCUCCGAUAGGUACUUAUUAUUUCAUCCUUAUAUAUGGCCGAAUUACCCGAUAUUUCCCGGAAUCGUCCUUAUAUGUACCACAGUUGUAUAUAUAUUAUAAUAUAUAUAUAUAUAUAUAUGAUUAUUUCGAAUAAUAUUGUGUACGGAAAGGGUAUAUAUAUGGAUUGCGUGCGAUGAUCCCGAAAAACCAAUUUGGAAUAUACGAGAGUACAGAGUACAUA